GGGGGCUCUGCCUCGUUGUCUGCAGGUCCUCAGUGCCGUCGGAGGACCUGUAGGCCUCUUGUCGCCGCUCCUCCUGCUCACCGGCUGGACUUGGCUGCGCCCACUCAGGGAUUCCAUGCAGAGGUUUCCCCAUGAACAUAAAGGGCAGCACAGAAUUGCUGUUGGGUCUACUGUUCAGUUGCUCCAAUUCUGGGGAACGUACUCAGCUUCAGGGAUGCAGUUGGAUUUUGCUCCCUGACCUCCCUUGCAUCGUGUAAGAGGGGAACUCUUCCUGACGCCUCGCCCUAGUACCCCUGAGGUCCCUGAAGUAGCCCGGGGUCGGUCACCCGCCUGCUAAGUAGCACGGCGGAGCGGCCCUGCAUCGGUGCAUGUGACAGCUCCACCAGCCAGGCGUGCCACCCAGCCAUUAUCCAGGCCCGUCCUAAGUGCAGCCCGCUGGGCUCAAAUGCCACUUUCGGAAGCAACACAUAAUUUUCUGUUACUGCGAGGGUCGCUGCGAGUCUCCUCCGGCUCCUUGGCACUUGCUUCCACAGCCCAUUGCUGUGACAAAAUGAAAACCCGGCAUUAAAC
rnacentral:lncRNA from 1 species